AUGAGAUUUUGGGUUCUUCUAAAGGAGAAAGUUCUCCUUUAUUUUUUAGGGAUUUGGAUAACUAUUGCAUNNNNNNNNNNNNNNNNNNNNGGCGGAGGGCCCGGCUCCCCCCGCCGGCCCCGCCCGGCUGCCAGGCGCGGAGCGGCGGCGCUCAGCACCCGCCGGCCCGAACAGCUCCGCCGGGAGGGGCCGCCCGCAGCACGGCUCGGCACGGCACGGCACGGCACGGAGCACGGCCCGCCCCCAGCCCCGGGCGGCGGGGGGUGGCUGAAACCCAGCCAGGGCAUUGGGUGGGGAAGAAGGUGCUUCGAGUUAAAAACGAGUUUUCGUUUUCUUUUUUUUUUUUUCUUUUUUAAUCUUUUAUCGUCAAAUGACGGCUUCUCCGAGCGCGUGACCAAAGCGAGUAACGGAUGUAUUUUUUUCCAAAGUAAGAGAAGAACAGGGAGGAAGAAAAGUCAGGGGACAGAAAGCGUGGAGGUUCAGGUUUCUGACUGUGUGAGUGAGAGCUGA
rnacentral:lncRNA from 1 species